GGCUUAGAGUUUGAUCAUGGCUCAGGAUGAACGCUAGCUACAGGCUUAACACAUGCAAGUCGAGGGGCAGCAUGAACUUAGCUUGCUAAGUUUGAUGGCGACCGGCGCACGGGUGGGUAACACGUAUCCAACCUGCCGAUGACUCGGGGAUAGCCUUUCGAAAGAAAGAUUAAUACCCGAUGGCAUAGUUCUUCCGCAUGGUGGAACUAUUAAAGAAUUUCGGUCAUCGAUGGGGAUGCGUUCCAUUAGGUUGUUGGCGGGGUAACGGCCCACCAAGCCUUCGAUGGAUAGGGGUUCUGAGAGGAAGGUCCCCCACAUUGGAACUGAGACACGGUCCAAACUCCUACGGGAGGCAGCAGUGAGGAAUAUUGGUCAAUGGACGAGAGUCUGAACCAGCCAAGUAGCGUGAAGGAUGACUGCCCUAUGGGUUGUAAACUUCUUUUAUACGGGAAUAAAGCGAGGCACGUGUGCCUUUUUGUAUGUACCGUAUGAAUAAGGAUCGGCUAACUCCGUGCCGGCAGCCGCGGUAAUACGGAGGAUCCGAGCGUUAUCCGGAUUUAUUGGGUUUAAAGGGAGCGUAGGCGGACGCUUAAGUCAGUUGUGAAAGUUUGCGGCUCAACCGUAAAAUUGCAGUUGAUACUGGGUGUCUUGAGUACAGUAGAGGCAGGCG
rnacentral:rRNA from 1 species